UACGAAGGGGGCUAGCGUUGUUCGGAAUCACUGGGCGUAAGGCGCACGUAGGCGGAUUUUUAAGUCAGGGGUGAAAUCCCGAGGCUCAACCUCGGAACUGCCUUUGAUACUGGAGAUCUUGAGUCCGGAAGAGGUAAGUGGAACUGCGAGUGUAGAGGUGAAAUUCGUAGAUAUUCGGAAGAACACCAGUGGCGAAGGCGACUUACUGGACACAUAUUGACGCUGAGGUGCGAAAGCGUGGGGAGCAAACAGG
rnacentral:rRNA from 1 species